rnacentral:lncRNA from 1 species
GGGAAAUGGCGUAAUUUGAAUGCCUUAUUUUAAGCAAAGUAUAUUGAUAGUUGUUCAGUUUGAAACGGCACUGGCUAAAAAAUUAUGGCAGUUAAGAAGAGAAAUCCGUCAGGGAGGCAGACAUGGUACUUAUAGAUUAUUACAUAGUAUAAUCUUUCUUGACCAUUGCAUUUUUUCACAUAUUUUUUCAAUCUUUAAAAUUUUAAUUAUAGGGC